AGCGCAGGGAGGCGUUGCAGCCGCACUAGUUCGAACCAGAACUGAGAAAAAGCCUGCUAGCAACGAGCCCGUUGAACACUGGGCCGGCGACAAAAGAUAGUGGUGAAAUCCAAACGCCACCACGGAUUUUCUAUGGGACAGACGUACGGGCCUCGCUGCUAAAACGAUGCCUCACAAUAGACGGUACUCGUCUUCAGACAGAGAGAGCCGAAGCAGCUACCAAGAUCGUUACAGAGACCGAGGUCGAAGACAUCGGCACAGAAGAUCACACACACACUCCUCCAGCAGUGACCGAGAGCGCGACAGACGGGGGCGAGGGCACAGACAGGAGGGAAGCUACCUGCGCUCAAGGAGCCGCAGCUAUGACAAUCGUUCGGCAGAACACCGUCCGUUCGAUCGAAGGUACCACGAGGGAUACAGACGACUGGAUCAGAGUCGAGAACGAGACCGGGACAGGGAGCCACAUGGAGCAGCCGAAAGCUAUUACCCACGUGACUUCUCCCCGAACAUGUACGACUACCGGCGUGGCCGCGAGAGAGAACGCGACGAGUCGUACCGGCGGAAAGGCAGCAGGCGUAAGCACAAACGAAGGCGGCGUAGAACCAGGUCCUAUAGCCCUUCUUCCUCGCGGAGCGCCAGCCGGACGCGGGCACUGAGUGUGAGGGACGACGAGGAAGGGCACCUGAUCUGUCGGAGUGGGGACGUCCUGCAAGAGAGAUAUGAGAUUGUCAGCACUUUGGGGGAAGGCACCUUUGGCAGGGUGAUGCGGUGCAUUGACCAUCGCAGAGGAGGAGCCCAUGUAGCUCUGAAAAUUAUCAAGAACGUUGAGAAAUACAAAGAAGCAGCUCGGCUGGAGAUUAACGUGCUAGAGAAGAUAAAUGAAAAAGAUCCUGAUAACAAAUACUUGUGUGUACAGAUGUAUGACUGGUUUGACUACCACGGUCAUAUGUGUAUUUCUUUUGAGCUGUUGGCUCUGAGCACCUUCGACUUCCUGAAGGAGAACAACUAUCUGCCGUACUCGAUCGGUCAGGUCAGGCACAUGGCCUAUCAAGUUUGUCUCGCUGUGAAAUUUCUUCAUGAUAACAAGUUGACGCACACAGACCUGAAGCCAGAAAACAUCCUGUUUGUCAACUCAGACUUCACAAUGACCUACAAUGUAGAAAAGAAAAGAGAAGAGCGAACUGUUAAGAGCACCUCAGUGCGAGUGGUGGACUUUGGCAGCGCCACUUUCGACCAUGAGCACCACAGCACCAUUGUGUCCACGAGGCACUACCGUGCCCCCGAGGUCAUAUUAGAACUGGGCUGGAGUCACCCGUGUGAUGUCUGGAGUAUCGGCUGUAUCCUGUUUGAGUACUACUUAGGUUUCACCUUGUUUCAGACUCAUGACAACAGGGAGCAUUUGGCUAUGAUGGAGAGAAUCCUGGGUCCAGUUCCCUCCAGGAUGAUUCGUAAAACCAGGAAGCAGAAGUAUUUCUAUCGUGGCCGUCUGGAUUGGGAUGAGAGCUCUUCAUCAGGAAAAUAUGUCCGAGAAAACUGCAAACCGUUACGGCGGUACCUGCUGUCAGAGGCAGAAGAUCACCACCAGUUAUUUGAUCUUAUUGAAAGCAUGUUGGAAUACGAGCCCUCGAAGAGGUUGACCCUGGCCGACUCCCUCAAACACCCUUUUUUCGAGAACCUGGGAGUGAGCGACGCCGCGGGCUGCAAGAACUGGGAGGGAAACCGGGACAUCAGCCGGUGACCCGCAAACGUUAAAAACUGAACCACGGGAGAGAUCGAGUUCUUUGCUUCUGGAGCAACUGAGCUAUUAAAUGAACUUGGACUUAAAGAGAUUUAUUAUUUUUUUGUUAUUUGUCAUUAAAGCAUGGACUUCUUAACUUCCCGUUCCUCCGCCCCCGUCAACCUCACGUUCAUCUCUGCAGUCACACGAGGCAUGUUUUUGCACCAGAGAGACCAAAACACCCAUUUAAAGAUGGGAAAAGACUCAAAAAUCUUUUCUAGCUGUCAACGCUGAAAGCCAGACUGAGAAAAGAAAACAUUCAAUGGAUUGUUUUUACCCCAAGUAGCCGUCUAUGCAGCUCCUGUCUUCCUUUUGACUCGUGAACAUCUUCCUCUCUUCCGUCAAAGAAAAUAAGACCUCUCUAAGGAAACGAACAGUUCUACAGUCAUCAGAUACAACUCGAUUUUGGAGCUGAAACCUCUUCUAGUUCUGAAGUACAAGAAAAGGCUCAGCUGUCUGUGUCUCCCAGAGACGGAGAAAUGUGGACGAUCUGCUGCGACAGGUGUCCAGAUGCACCGUCACACAAGCUUUCCCAUCUGUUGAUAAUCCUAUUUGAAGACCAGCAAGGUCAUCAGUCGAAUCCUCAUAAGUGCAGCCAGAGAGACGUUUUAACAAUCAGAAAGGCUGGGAGGACACGCCGAGCGGACGCAGCUUUUACAGAAGAAGCAGGUUGUGUCAAAGAUCUACCUCACAGAUUUGAGACACAAAAAUCUUUUUCUCCAACACAAAGCUGCGAGUCAACACUGCUGCUGGGUAAAAUCCACAUGCUGACUCUGUUAUAAAGCAAGGCAAAGUUCAUCCAGUAAACUUUCAACGCAUUCAAAGCAUUCUGGAGAUGGAAUCCCUCAUGUCGCUGGGCGCACCGCUGAAGCAGUUCACCAGCUGCGUGUCCGGCACGAAAACCACCAAGAGGAGCCACUCGGUCCGCAGAUGCAGCCUCACUCGCAGGAAGAGCAUCAGUAGGAGGAGAAGCCUUCCCUGCAACAACCAGAAAGUCCCAGACUCCUGGCUCCGAGUGUAUCAGGAUGAACUGAAGAGGGAAAGGAAACGUCAACAAGCCAUUCUAGCCAAGAAGAAUGCAGAAAGGACUGUGAGAAAAACCCACUUCAGGAGCCACCACUGCCUUCCACGGCAAACAACUGCAGCCAGGAAACCAGCACCAGCCAAGGAUGAGUCGUUCUUCGGUGCCUUUCAGGGUCUCAGUCUGGACGGGCUGAUGGGAGGCACUGCUGGAUCGCCCGGCAUCUCGGCUCCCGCUGCAGGUGGAGGAGAUCCGUGCAAAGUUAUGUGAUGUGCAACAUGAAGGGACUAUUAAACACUUGAGAUUUUCUCACUAAGACUUAAAGAGCGAUCUGAUCUAAAGAACGAGUGAUUAUCAUUUUGUAACGUGAGCGAUGAAAUGACUGCUUUAUUCUUUUUGCUUCCAUUGUCUAUUUUUGUACUUGAGAAAUCUGAUUGUCUGAAUGCACUUUGUUCAAUAAAGCAGUUUAUUAAAGAUUAA